CGGGACGGAAGCUAGUCCUCCUAACGGCUGGAAAUGGUAACGGUCAACUGUAAGUUGAUAUCUUCUAAGAUGAUGACUCCUAACUGCUCCUCCAUGUGCCGAAGGUGAAGACGUCAGGCCUGCAGGUGCAGCUUCAUCCGCCUCUUCUCCCUAAUUUACUGCGGAGGUUAGGAGCGGGCCACCCCGCGCUGCCGUCUCCACGCCAGGAAUGCUUUGAAGUAGCAGAGCCGGACGGCCGGAGAAGAGGAUCCGAGCGUCCAGUUGCUGGUGUCGCCGCUGAUGGUGUCGACGGUGAAGCUGGCCGCCUGGCCGCCGGCCUCGCACUCGGCCUUGUCGUCGUUUAGAA